rnacentral:rRNA from 1 species
AUGAACGCUAGCUACAGGCUUAACACAUGCAAGUCGAGGGGCAUCAGGAAGAAAGCUUGCUUUCUUUGCUGGCGACCGGCGCACGGGUGAGUAACACGUAUCCAACCUGCCCUUUACUCGGGGAUAGCCUUUCGAAAGAAAGAUUAAUACCCGAUAGCAUAAUGAUUCCGCAUGGUUUCAUUAUUAAAGGAUUCCGGUAAAGGAUGGGGAUGCGUUCCAUUAGGUUGUUGGUGAGGUAACGGCCCACCAAGCCUUCGAUGGAUAGGGGUUCUGAGAGGAAGGUCCCCCACAUUGGAACUGAGACACGGUCCAAACUCCUACGGGAGGCAGCAGUGAGGAAUAUUGGUCAAUGGGCGCUAGCCUGAACCAGCCAAGUAGCGUGAAGGAUGAAGGCUCUAUGGGUCGUAAACUUCUUUUAUAUAAGAAUAAAGUGCAGUAUGUAUACUGUUUUGUAUGUAUUAUAUGAAUAAGGAUCGGCUAACUCCGUGCCAGCAGCCGCGGUAAUACGGAGGAUCCGAGCGUUAUCCGGAUUUAUUGGGUUUAAAGGGAGCGUAGGUGGACUGGUAAGUCAGUUGUGAAAGUUUGCGGCUCAACCGUAAAAUUGCAGUUGAUACUGUCAGUCUUGAGUACAGUAGAGGUGGGCGGAAUUCGUGGUGUAGCGGUGAAAUGCUUAGAUAUCACGAAGAACUCCGAUUGCGAAGGCAGCUCACUGGACUGCAACUGACACUGAUGCUCGAAAGUGUGGGUAUCAAACAGGAUUAGAUACCCUGGUAGUCCACACAGUAAACGAUGAAUACUCGCUGUUUGCGAUAUACAGUAAGCGGCCAAGCGAAAGCAUUAAGUAUUCCACCUGGGGAGUACGCCGGCAACGGUGAAACUCAAAGGAAUUGACGGGGGCCCGCACAAGCGGAGGAACAUGUGGUUUAAUUCGAUGAUACGCGAGGAACCUUACCCGGGCUUAAAUUGCAGUGGAAUGAUGUGGAAACAUGUCAGUGAGCAAUCACCGCUGUGAAGGUGCUGCAUGGUUGUCGUCAGCUCGUGCCGUGAGGUGUCGGCUUAAGUGCCAUAACGAGCGCAACCCUUAUCUUUAGUUACUAACAGGUUAUGCUGAGGACUCUAGAGAGACUGCCGUCGUAAGAUGUGAGGAAGGUGGGGAUGACGUCAAAUCAGCACGGCCCUUACGUCCGGGGCUACACACGUGUUACAAUGGGGGGGACAGAAGGCAGCUAGCGGGUGACCGUAUGCUAAUCCCAAAAUCCUCUCUCAGUUCGGAUCGAAGUCUGCAACCCGACUUCGUGAAGCUGGAUUCGCUAGUAAUCGCGCAUCAGCCACGGCGCGGUGAAUACGUUCCCGGGCCUUGUACACACCGCCCGUCAAGCCAUGGGAGCCGGGGGUACCUGAAGUACGUAACCGCAAGGAUCGUCCUAGGGUAAAACUGGUGACUGGGGCU